UUAUUAAGAGUUACAUUUAUUUACUGAUAUUUUGAGCUCAACCCAUAACUUGUUAAAAUUCCUCUGCUGCUGUAACCUUUUUUAUAUGCUAAUUCCAAAUGGGCAUCUUUUCCCUUUUUUACCUAGCUGCUUGUGUAUGUGUACUGUGUUUUUGGCCAAUUAAAUACACCCUUUUUAAAGACAAGAUUUAUCUCCUUGAAUUUACAAUGCAUAACAAACAAUUGCAUAACAAAAGGCAGAAAGAGAGUAAAUUAAUUCAAAGGUAACACAUAACAGCCUCUUUUAUCAUGUGAAAAGGGGUCUAAACAUGCCUUUUAAGACAGGUAAUUGAUAUGGCAAUUUGAAAAACAUAUUUUAAUUUAUGUAAUAUUGUUAUUAUUCAUGACGCCCAACUGCAAACUCGCAAAACAUCAUGUUUGGCAUGUUAUACAGGCGUGUGUGAUCUGUUAUUUGGAGCUAUUCACUCAACUACAAUUCUUCCUAGAUUUGAAGGAUUUGAGAUAUGUAUAAAUAUAUGUACACCCUGUACUUUUCAUUACUUUUGUUUCCCCUCUUCAUUGCAGAUAUCCUGUCCCUUGCAUGUUUCAUAACUUAGUCACAUGUUAGACAAAAUAUUAAAGGAAAUAUCAGACUUUGUUUGUUAAAGGGUUUCAGCAGCAGACACGUCUACUUUUAGCUCAUUCUAAUUCAGCAUGAGAAUAUUUUAAGGCUAUGUUUGCAGAUGUGGUGUUUUAUACAUUCAUUCUUGCACUAAAAGGCUGCCUCCUUUGUUCUUUGGCAGGGGGAGCAUCUGAAUAUAACUUGCAAGCGUCCUGUCAUGUCUUAAAGGUGAUUUCUCUUCCUGCCAGGAAAGAAAAGGAAUUGAUCAAAACACAGCUGCAUAGAAGAUCUCGGGUCUUUAAAAGGUUGAAUAGCAUGCAAUGGAUGAUGAUAUUGUUCCUAUUUGUGCCUAACACAAGGUUAUUUUGAGCAUCCCAGCAAUUUCAGAAUUUCAGAAUACCUGCAGAAUUCAAGCACAAAUUACCAGCUACCAUCAUCUAAGGAGGCAUGAAGAUAUAAUCUGAACCACACUAUCCUGCCCCGCUGAUGAUGUCACAAAAGGUGCGCUUAUAAAAAGGGAAGCCAGAAGUCAGGAGCCGGCAGUGUAAAGUCACAGCUGGGGAGAGCCGGCAGAAGAGCUCAACUCAAACCCACCCCCGACCUGCAAAUGUUCCCAAGGGUAUUGGACCAGUCUGCACAUAACUAAUGUUUAAGCCAAGCCUCUUCUGGCAGAUGAUAAGGGUAUUAUAGCUCAAUAAGGGGUUAGGAGAUGUGCUGAUGUAGCUUUAGGCUGUCAGCCUGCAACAGCUUGAAUGGCGCUAAAGCAAGGCUGAACAUUGCAUUCACUGCUUAAUAUUUAUUUUAGAUAAACUCAGAAGGGAAAAAAUUAAGGAAUAACUGACCUUUACAAUGACUAUUUUGUUUUGUACAUAGUUGCCCAUCUGCCAGUUCAUUCCCACUAGUCCCCAAUACAAAAGUCCCCCAUGUGAACGUAUUUAUACUCUUAUAUGGUAUUCAGGUAAGGUUCAUGUAGUUUUUAUGUAUGAGUGCAUAGAUGGGUCUAUAGAUGUGUAUAUAUGUGAAUGUGCACUGGGGGCUGUUUGGAAAGGUUGAACUUGAUGGACUUAUUUCUUUUUAAAUUAAUUGUGUAAUUACUGUAUGUAAAACCAUCUACGUACAUUAUAUCAUAAAAGUAAAAGAUGAGUUUAUUUUCACAUUUAAAGAAAAAAUUUAUGA